GAUUGUGAUUGAUGAUGAAGAUCCUACUCCUAACGAAGCCAAAGCUGAGCCCCCAGAAGAACCUGUAGACACCAAUUUGCAGGCACAUGAAAUUAUUGCAAAUUUGGCACUGGAACUUGACCACAAGAAGGUCAGCAGGUUCAAUAUAUCAAGGUCAGCUGUAUGGGAUGGAGCUGUUAGAGGAUUUCGACGCAGCACAUACUCUGACAACUACGACAUGUUCAUCAAGUUUAAUGAUGAUGCUGGCAGCUUUGAAGAAGGUUUGGAUACAAGUGGCCCGAGGCGUGAAUUCCUCACACUUCUUAUGGGCAGUCCGAGAAAUCGCCCCAUCUUUGAUGGACCUCCAGAGAGCCGUUAUCUUGUAUAUAAUUCAAGAGCUGCCAGGCAAGAUGAGUACUUUUUAGCAGGAAAGAUGAUCGCUGUAUCCAUUGUGCAUGGGGGACCAGCACCACAUUUCCUCUCCAAGAACCUGGUCAACCACAUCACAGGGAAUCAGAGUUUCAGCGCCACUGUAGAAGAUGUGCAAGAUG